UGUCACGACUUGGUGGAGUGUCACGACUUGGUGGAG
rnacentral:sRNA from 1 species